ensembl:lncRNA novel transcript
GGAAAGGGUGCUCUCAGUUCCCGACAGCGGGGGCUGGACAAGACGGAGACGGUACUGGCAAUACGUCGGUUGAAGGGAAGCGGAGCGGAGCACGCGCGGGCUGUGACGAGGGAGCGGAGAAACAGCUGUCCCGUUAGCCUCGUGUUGACGUCCCGGGUUCAGCCCCAGGAGGACGAAAAGACUGUGCCGUGUCCUUCCCGAGGGGAGUGGCGUUCCCAUUGACCUGCAUACCUCACCUCAUACUCGUGCGUGGACGUGUUCCAGCCAAGUCCCGUUCACUCCAGCUCCUCCGUCUCCACCCUAAUCCUAAUUAUUGGUGUUUCGUUUGAAAGGGUUCUGUGAAUUUGUCAAGCAGGAAAAUUUGGGGUCCGACAGAAUUAAGCAAUUCUCUUUAAUUAAAUAGCUUGCGGAGUCUUUAA